rnacentral:rRNA from 1 species
AUACGGAGGGUGCAAGCGUUAAUCGGAAUUACUGGGCGUAAAGAGUACGUAGGCGGCCUAUUAAGUCAGAUGUGAAAGCCCAGGGCUCAACCUUGGAACUGCAUUUGAAACUGGUAGGCUAGAGUAUGGUAGAGGGGGGUAGAAUUUCUGGUGUAGCGGUGAAAUGCGUAGAUAUCAGAAGGAAUACCAGUGGCGAAGGCGGCCCCCUGGCCCAAUACUGACGCUGAGGUACGAAAGCGUGGGUAGCGAACGGGAUUAGAUACCCUAGUAGUCC